UACGUAGGGUGCGAGCGUUAAUCGGAAUUACUGGGCGUAAAGGGCGCGUAGGCGGCCAGCACAAGUCAGUUGUGAAAUCUCCGGGCUUAACUCGGAAAGGUCAACUGAUACUGUGCGGCUAGAGUGCGGAAGGGGCAACUGGAAUUCUUGGUGUAGCGGUGAAAUGCGUAGAUAUCAAGAGGAACACCUGCGGCGAAGGCGGGUUGCUGGGCCGACACUGACGCUGAGGAGCGAAAGCCAGGGGAGCAAACAGG
rnacentral:rRNA from 1 species